AGAAUGGUAGCCGAGUGGGUAAAGCACUCGGUACCGAAUAUCGAUGGUUCGAAUCCAUCCCAUUAGA